GAUCUGUUCAGAUUAGCCAUGCAUGUAUCAGUUCAGACCAUUUAUGGUUAAACCGCGAAUGGCUCAUUAAAUCAGCUUUGGUUUCUUAGACCUUACUUGUUACAUGGAUAACUAUAGUAAUUCUAGAGCUAAUACAUGCCAAUGUGCCGUUGGCGAAAGUCAUCGGCGGCUUGAUUAGAUCAAAGUCAACCGGUCUUUUGGCCGAUUACAUUGAUGAGUCUAGAUCACUUACCUAAUCUCAUGACCUCUGUGUUGGAGAUGUAUCUUUCAAGCAACUGACCUAUCAACUUUCGAUGGUGAGUGAUAUGCUCACCAUGGUGAUAACGGGUAACGGGGAAUCAGUGUUCGAUUCCGGAGAGGGAGCCUUAAAAACGGCUACCACUUCUAAGGAAGGCAGCAGGCGCGCAAAUUACCCACUCUCAGCGAGAGGAGGUAGUGACGAUAAAUAACAAUGCGAGACUCAAUUUGAGGCCUUGCAAUUGGAAUGAGUACAAUUUAAAUCCUUUAACGAGGAUCAAUUGGAGGGCAAGUCUGGUGCCAGCAGCCGCGGUAAUUCCAGCUCCAAUAGCGUAUAUUAAAUUUGUUGCAGUUGAAAAGCUCGUAGUUGGAUAUGAGGUACGAGACGGUGGUUCCGCGUUUGUGGUAACUGUCUGUUUUGUCCUUAAAUGGCUGUUAGCUAUUCGGCACGCUCUUAAUUGAGUGUUGUUGAGUACACAGCAAAUUUACUUUGAACAAAUUAAAGUGCUCAAAGCAAGCCCUUGUGGGUUGAAUAGUUUUGCAUGGAAUAAUGAAAUAGGACUUUGGUUCUAUUUGUUGAUUUUCGGUAUCAAAGUAAUGAUUAAAAGAGACAAACGGGGGCUUAUGUAUGGCUGAGUGAGAGGUGGAAUUCUAGGAUCUUAGCCAGACAGCCUACUGCGAAAGCAUUUGCCAAGGAUGCCUUCAUUAAUCAAGAACGAAAGUCAAAGGUUCGAAGACGAUCAGAUACCGUCCUAGUUUUGACUAUAAACGAUGCCGACCAACAAUCAAGUAUGGCUAUAAUAUAUUGGCCUAUUUGGCUGUCCCUGGGAAACCUUAAGUAUAGGUUCUGGGGGGAAUAUGGUCGCAAGGCAGAAACUUAAAGGAAUUGACGGAAGGGCACCACCAGGAGUGGAGCCUGCGGCUUAAUUUGACUCAACACGGGGAAACUUACCCGGCCCGGACACUGGGAGGAUAGACAGAUUGAGAGCUCUUACUUGAUUCAGUGGAUGGUGGUGCAUGGCCGUUCUUAGUUGGUGGAGUGAUUUGUCUGGUUAAUUCCGAUAACGAACGAGACUCUGAUCUGCUAACUAGUAUGCCAAUUUAGUCUGCUUAUGUAGACCUGUUGGUGUUGACUUCUUAGAGAAAUUGGCGACUUUCAGUCGCAAGAAAGAGAGCAAUAACAGGUCUGUGAUGCCCUUAGAUGUCCGGGGCCGCACGUGCGCUACAAUGGUAACUUCAGCGAGUAUUAAAACCUUAUCCGAAAGGAUUGGGAAAUCUUGGCAUAGUUAUCUCAUCAGGGAUUGAGAUUUGUAAUUAUUUCUCAUGAACGAGGAAUUCCUAGUAAGCACAAGUCAUCAGCUUGUGUUGAUUACGUCCCUGCCCUUUGUACACACCGCCCGUCGCUACUACCGAUUGAAUGUUUUAGUGAGGUCAUCAGAUCUAGUCAAAUAGUUGGCAACAAUUACUUGGCAAUGAGAAGUUGGUCGAACUGAGCAUAGAGAGAAAAGCGAU
rnacentral:rRNA from 1 species